GACGAACGCUGGCGGCGUGCUUAACACAUGCAAGUCGAACGGUAAGGCCCUUCGGGGUACACGAGUGGCGAACGGGUGAGUAACACGUGGGUGACCUGCCCUGCACUUCGGGAUAAGCCUGGGAAACUGGGUCUAAUACCGGAUAGGACCACUGCCUGCAUGGGUGGUGGUGGAAAGCUUUUGCGGUGUGGGAUGGGCCCGCGGCCUAUCAGCUUGUUGGUGGGGUGAUGGCCUACCAAGGCGACGACGGGUAGCCGGCCUGAGAGGGUGAGCGGCCUCACUGGGACUGAGAUACGGCCCAGACUCCUACGGGAGGCAGCAGUGGGGAAUAUUGCACAAUGGGCGCAAGCCUGAUGCAGCGACGCCGCGUGAGGGAUGACGGCCUUCGGGUUGUAAACCUCUUUCAGCACCGACGAAGCGCAAGUGACGGUAGGUGCAGAAGAAGGACCGGCCAACUACGUGCCAGCCGCCGCAGUAAA
rnacentral:rRNA from 1 species